GUGGGGAAUAUUGCGCAAUGGGGGAAACCCUGACGCAGCGACGCCGCGUGAGUGAAGAAGGCCUUAGGGUUGUAAAGCUCUGUUUUAAGGGACGAAUGUCGUGGGGAGUAAUAUGCUCUGUGAAUGACGGUACCUUAAGAGGAAGCCCCGGCUAACUACGUGCCAGCAGCCGCGGUAAGACGUAGGGGGCGAGCGUUGUCCGUAAUUACUGGACGUAAAGAGCACGUAGGCGGGAACUUAAGUCAGGUGUGAAAGACCGGGGGUCAACUCCGGGGUUUCACUUGAAACGGGGUUUCUUGAGGGCAGGAGAGGAAAGCAGAAUUCCUGGUGUAGCGGUGAAAUGCGUAGAAAUCAGGAGGAAUACCAGUGGCGAAGGCGGCUUUCUGGACUGACCCUGACGCUGAGGUGCGAAAGCGUGGGUAGCAAACAGGAUUAGAAACCCGGGUAGUCC
rnacentral:rRNA from 1 species